rnacentral:rRNA from 1 species
CGCGCAGGCGGGCUGAUCAGUCUGUGGUGAAAGUUCACGGCUUAACCGUGAAAUUGCCUUGGAUACUGUCAGUCUUGAGUUCGGAAGAGGAAAGUGGAAUUCCUGGUGUAGCGGUGAAAUGCGUAGAUAUCAGGAAGAACACCGGUGGCGAAGGCGGCUUUCUGGUCCGAAACUGACGCUGAGGCGCGAAAGUGUGGGUAGCGAACA